rnacentral:misc_RNA from 1 species
UCUCCGUAGGUGAACCUGCGGAGGGAUCAUUACCGAGCGAGGGCCCCCGGCCCGACCUCCAACCCUUUGUGAACCCCAUCUCGUUGCUUCGGGGGCGACCCUGCCGUUCCGGCACCGGCGCCCCCGGAGGACACCCAACACUGCAUCUUUGCGUCGGAGUCUUAAUGAAUUUAAACAAAACUUUUAACAACGGAUCUCUUGGUUCUGGCAUCGAUGAAGAACGCAGC